CUGGGAGGACUCGAAGGCUGACCUGCAGAGGGCAAUCGUUGGACACGGAUGAUAACAAAGGCAGCUGGGGAGAUUAGGCUCAGACACGUGGCUGUGACCCAGGACUGCUGCGUAGCUCGCAGCAUCUGAAAGGCGAUCGUCGGGGACUUGGAGAGCACCAGCAUCCGGGAGGUGGGAAGGCAGCGGAGCACACAAAGCCAGCCAGAAGCGCCGAGGUCCCUUUCCCAGGGCUUGUUAACACUAUAAUCCGGCACCAGGAGGGAAGGCGAGAGUGCGGAGCGGGGAGGGGAGGCAGCUUUCCGCUGCCCAGAGCUUCUUUCCAUAGCUCAUCAGAUGCCUCCCUGGGUUUUACACACAGUUGGAGUUCUGCUUGAAACCAGGAUUUAAAGGAAAUCGCGUCGGCUGCCAUGAAGAGCCGUUCAGCGCAACCCCAGGGAGAACUCGAGAGAGGUGAAAGGAUGUCAGAUAAGCCCAGAAGAAGAAGCUGGAAGCUG